GCUUACGGCCAUACCACUUAGGCACGCCCGAUCUCGUCUGAUCUCGGAAGCUAAGCAGGGUCGGGCCUGGUUAGUACUUGGAUGGGUGACCGCCUGGGAAUACCAGGUGCUGUAAGCA
ensembl:rRNA 5S_rRNA 5S ribosomal RNA